rnacentral:rRNA from 1 species
GACGAACGCUGGCGGCGUGCCUAAUACAUGCAAGUCGAGCGGAGUGAAUAGAAGUGCUUGCACUUCUAUUCACUCAGCGGCGGACGGGUGAGUAACACGUAGGUAACCUGCCUGUAAGACUGGGAUAACUACCGGAAACGGUAGCUAAUACCGGAUAAUUUGUUUCCUCACCUGAGGAGACACUGAAAGGCGGAGCAAUCUGUCACUUAUAGAUGGGCCUGCGGCGCAUUAGCUAGUUGGUGAGGUAACGGCUCACCAAGGCGACGAUGCGUAGCCGACCUGAGAGGGUGAACGGCCACACUGGGACUGAGACACGGCCCAGACUCCUACGGGAGGCAGCAGUAGGGAAUCUUCCGCAAUGGACGAAAGUCUGACGGAGCAACGCCGCGUGAGUGAUGAAGGUUUUCGGAUCGUAAAGCUCUGUUGCCAGGGAAGAAGAUUUGGGAGAGUAACUGCUCUCAAAGUGACGGUACCUGGGAAGAAAGCCCCGGCUAACUACGUGCCAGCAGCCGCGGUAAUACGUAGGGGGCAAGCGUUGUCCGGAAUUAUUGGGCGUAAAGCGCGCGCA